UACGGAGGGUGCGAGCGUUGUCCGGAAUCACUGGGCGUAAAGGGCGCGUAGGUGGCCGAGCAAGGUCGCGGUGAAAGCCCGGGGCUCAACCCCGGGUCGGCCGUGGCAACUACUGGGCUGGAGCACUGUAGGGGCGGGUGGAAUUCCGGGUGUAGCGGUGGAAUGCGUAGAGAUCGGGAGGAACACCGGUGGCGAAGGCGGGUCUCUGGGCAAUUCCUGACGCUGAGGCGCGAAAGCGUGGGGAGCAAACGGG
rnacentral:rRNA from 1 species